AUGCCGACGCUACAUGGUCCUCUUCUGUUCGUGAAUCCUGGAGCUUACCAAGAGCCGAAAUCAUUCCCGAAAAGCACCGCCAGUCCAUUUAACAACUUGUUAGGCUGCAAUACGGUUUGUAGUUCCGUCGAAGGCCAUCAUGUACAGAAGCCACACAUUGUUUCUAGCUUCAGAGUUAACUUUACCAGAGUCAGCCAUUAUCUUCAGAGAAGCUUAAAUGAGAGAACUACACGGCACUGGCUGCAUCGAUUUCAUGUUAAUGCUUCAUCGGACGAGGACUUUCGCUCGUCGCGUAAUAUAGCAACCAGCCUAUUCAAGCAGUAUAAGAAUGUCAUUGAUCGAGGAGGCGGAGAUAACAUAAAAGGGUUUGUUAGUGCUGGAGUGCAAGCAUAUGCCCUAGGCUGUACAGAAGAGGGGCUUAGAAAGGAACUUAUGGAUAUAAAAAAAUCUGGUGUCAAGAUCGAAGGCCUGCAAUCCUAUGGAGGAACAAGCUUGAGCUUCAAAGUUCGUUCUUUUGAGGUAAAGGAGUGCAUUCUGUGGCUCAGUAUAGUGUUCAUUACAAUCCUAUGCACGCCACAGCCGACGGUCAUCAGGUGGUCUACCACCCCACCAGUGUCGGCGGAUGUCUUGCAUCAGUGGAAAGGAUUUUGUGCCCUGAUAGCAAACGCUUACUACACCAAAGGCAUGGCAUGGCUGCCAGUGAAAACAUUGCAGCUGGAACAGAUGGCUGUGACAGGCAGUUCAGAGGAGCCAUCGCUAGUAGCAAGUCGGAUGCAGCUAGUUUUCAGUACGUUAGAGGUAGUCAGCCCCCAAUGGCCAAGAGUGUGA
rnacentral:rRNA from 1 species